rnacentral:rRNA from 1 species
UACAGAGGCCCCGAGCGUUAUCCGGAAUUAUUGGGCGUAAAGGGUGCGUAGGUGGCUUUAUUAGUCGAAUUUCAAAGAUCUGGGCUCAACCCAGGGAAGGGAUUCGAAACGGUAAGGCUUGAGUAUGUGAGAGGUGAACGGAACUCAUGGAGUAGGGGUGAAAUCCGUUGAUAUCAUGGGGAACACCAAAUGCGAAGGCAGUUCACUGGCACAUUACUGACACUGAGGCACGAAAGCGUGGGUAGCGAAUGGG